rnacentral:rRNA from 1 species
UACAGAGGUCUCAAGCGUUGUUCGGAUUCAUUGGGCGUAAAGGGUGCGUAGGUGGCGGGGCAAGUCUGGUGUGAAAUCUCGGAGCUCAACUCCGAAACUGCACUGGAUACUGCCUUGCUCGAGUACUGGAGAGGAGAUUGGAAUUUACGGUGUAGCAGUGAAAUGCGUAGAUAUCGUAAGGAAGACCAGUGGCGAAGGCGAAUCUCUGGACAGUUACUGACACUGAGGCACGAAGGCCAGGGGAGCAAACCGGG